CUCUUCUUUUCUCUAUCUACAUUCAAUCCUCUGGUAUUCUCAUGGCUUUCAAUAUCAUCUAUACUCUGCUAACAGCUAAAUUCUCUAGUUCAAUUCUCUUACCUGAACUCUAAAUUCAUACCCAAUUGCUUAUUUGACAUUACUGCUUGGAUAUCCAAUACACAUCUCAAACUAAAUAUUUCUAAAACUGAAUGGUUCAUCACUUUCCAAACCUGGUCCUUUUGAAGGCUAUGCCAUCUUAGUUAACUGCAAAUAUAUCUUUUCAAUUGCUCAGGCUAUAAACUUCAAGUCAUCUUUAAUUUCUCCUUUUCUUUUUUCACCCCAAAUUUGAUUUUUCAACACAUCUUCUUGGCUCCUUCUUCAAAAUACAUCUAGAAUCUGACUUCUUCUCACCAUUUCAACCUCUACCACUUGAUCUGAGCCACCAUCUUCUCUUGACUAAAUCUAUUGUGAUAGAUCUCUAACUGGUUUCCCUAGUUCUAUGCUGUCCUCGCUCUAAUCCAUUCUUUACCACAAAACCCAGAAUAAUCCAUUUAAAACUAAGCUCAAAGAUAUCAUUCCAUUACUCAAAAUUCUUCAGUGUUUCCUCAUCUCACUCACUCAGGUUAAAAACCAAAAUCUUUACUAUGGCCUACAAGACCCUACAUAAAUCUGGCUCUUCAUGACCUCUAAGAUUUCAUAUCAAACUAUUAUGCAUCUGGCUCAUGCUGCCCCAGUACUCCUAGCUCUGGUCUCCCAAUGAUGUCAUCAUGUUCCUGCCUUAGGGGCUUUGCACAGGCUUUCCUCAGAUAUUCUCAUUGCUUACUUCUUUGCCAUUUUAAGUUAUUGCCAAAAAAUAUCACUUUCUCAGUCAAUAACCCCGACUACCCUGUUUAAAAUGUACUUAGUGCCCAGAACUACUUACCCUUUUUUCUGCUUUGUUUUUCUUUCAUGUAAUGUCACCUUUUAAGAUACUCUAUAAUUUACUUUUCUUUUUUUUUUUUUUUUUUUGAGACAACGUCUUGCCCUGUUGCCCAGUCUAGAGUGCAGUGGCACAAUCUCGGCCCACUGCAACCUCAACCUCCUAGGCUCAAGCCUUCCUCCCACCUUAUAAUGUACUUUUUCACUUUUAUUUAUUAUCUACCUUCUUCCAGUGGAAUAUAUAAACUCCACCAAAGCAAUCAUUUUUGUCUUGUUUUUUAUUUCCCCUCUCUCUGUCUCCACUGUUUUAUUUCCAGUACCCAGAAUAGUUCCUGGAACAAAAUAGGUUUUUAAAUAAAUGAUUUUUAAGUGACUCAGUUAAUAAAGAAGUUUAACUGGCUUUGUGGCCCUGAUAGGACAGGUCACUUAACCUUACAUCCUGUGUAUCCUGAUUUGUAAAAUGUGAUUCAUGAUUCUUAUUAAGGUGUCUUCCACACUCUGAAAUUAAAGUGAUGCUCACAGAUCCAUAGUUAUGGAAGGAAGCCCAGUGAAGUUCUGGGGCACAGCCUGGCUGUUUGAAGACGGUUGUAAGCCAAGCUGCUGUGGCCAUGAGAAAGGCACCCAGUGGUUCCUGUGAUAAAGACUGAGUUUCAACAGAACUUGGUGUUAAGGAGAAUCAGAGGUUGCACUACCCUCUCUAAAAUAGUCAUAAAUAAAAUCUGUCUGGUGGUUUCAUCUUUAUAUCUUUUUUCUGCUUUGGGCAACCCAAGCCUUGUUCACUGCCUCUACUCAGCAUGAUUUUGUAAAUGCUAGCCACACUACAGAGUUUAAAGGUAUGAAAUAUCUAAUUAAAAUGAGACUUCUGGUGGGAAUAGCUUUCAGAGAGUAGUAAUAUGACUAGACAAUAUUUAACAAAAAAAAAAGUCUGAGUCUAGGAGUCAAGGGAACUGGAUCCUAAAUCUGGUUCUGUCACUGUGUGACUUCAGAGAAGUCACUUAGCCUUUAUGCCUCAGUUUUCUCAUUUGUCAAACCGGGAUUUGCCAGCCCUCAAAGGAUAAUUGUAGGGAUUGCAUAAAAUAACAGAUAAAAAAGUACUUUUAAAGUUUACAAAUGCCCUGCAUGUUUCAUCCUUUUAAAGCACUAACGAUGUGUUAUGUUCUGAAAAUGACAGAGAAUUAAAUGUGAUCUUCACUCAUAAAACUAGGAGAUACAAUCCUACAGGUUCACAAUUUACCUAACAGGAUAUGACAUGAUCACUGGGAGAUACUCCAGAAAAGAGGCUGUUGACAGAGUGGAAAAGUCAGGCAUAUGCAAUUAUAAUGUUGAAUCCAAUCAUCAUCAUGAGUUCAGGGUAGAUAUUUAUGGAUCAUUAUGGAGACCAGGAGGAACCUGACAUUUUGAGUGGGUGGUAGAAGAUUUUCUUUGGAGAGGUAAAGUUAUCAAAGACAAAGUCACUUCCAACUUAAGAAGCAGAUAUUUUACAAGCUGUACAUUUCAUCCAUUUAACAGGCCCUAGCAUUUGCUGCAUACAGAAAUUAAGUUUGGUUGACAUGAGAGCAUACUGGAUAUUCUGAGUGCCACACUUGGUACCAGCACAGCUGUAAUCAGGACAGAUUGCAAUAAGGAUACCUUUUUCUGGGUCCACAGAUACUGACAAAAUCCAUGUUUUCUUUUUCCAGGGCCCAGCUCAGAAAUCAGCGCUGAUCAAAUAAAGCACACAUUCCCUUUGGCACUAAAUUUGACUCGGCAGCGUCUGUACAGGGAUCCUGGCAAAACCAGAACAUUCAGCCUUUAGAAUCACUGGGGAUUGGCUCACCGCUGUGUGGAAGCACAACUGUUAUUUCUGAAUGCCAUCCACGUGGCUCAGCCACUGAGAUGAAGCACCAUUCAGAAGAAGCAAAUGUGUGCUCUAUGUUUCACCCAGUCUGAUUUGGCCAAGAUCACACAGAUAGGUUCUACAAAGAAAGCACUAUUGCCAUUAUCAUCGAAAUACAAAUCUACUUUUGGAAGACAAGUGCCUUAUAAAUACACCAAUUGAAAAACAAGCAAAGUGAAUUUAAGCUACGUAAGUAUGAGGAGAUUCUUUAACAGAAAUGCCCUCUUCUAAGUUUCUCUGCCAAAUCUUCUUACUACAUUUAAAGUUCUCAAAACCUUUUUGUUUCAUGUCCUUGAUUCUGGUCUCUUCAAUGACUUUAGCUACUCUUUAGUACUUAUACAGAGAAACUUCUCUUAUAUGAUACAGUCAGGGAAUGCAAUAUCCCAGCUCUACAAUAUUCUGGCUUCUGGAAAGAUAUGCUUUUGACAUACCAUAUAACAUUUUCAACAGGUUUCGAACAAUAAUAAUACAUGAUAUUCUAUUACAUCAUAUUAUAUUAAAUCAUAUUAUAAUAAUAUAUGGGUACUUGUGCUGAAUGUAGUAUAAUCUUCUCCUGGUGACUCAUCAAGUAUUUUAGGAUCAUGGUUUGUCUGUUUUAUUGAUGCUCACAAAAGCAAAACAACUAUGCCAAAGUGCUGGUGAGUGAAGCAUUAUAUUGAAUAGAUUCCUGCUAAACCCGAGAACAUCUUUGCCCUGAAACUAUCUGGUAUCUAGAUAGCUCAUGGUAACCCUAGGCAUUUGCUGUCAACAUAACAAGAUCAGCUCUACUUAGUUUCCCAGAUCAAACAAGAUCAGUUGUGCUCUAUUUAGUGCAGUUUAACGUCUUCCUGUGAUUACAUUCAUUUAUGUUUUAGGUUUUUUUUCACAAUAGACUCCUUCUUUUGUUUUCAUUUCAGAUUGUCUCCAGGCUCCAAGAUUUUAUUUUUUCAUAGCAAUUUCUUCCCCUCGAUGCUUAUUUUAAUGCUAUGCACAAUAAAUUCCUCAAAAACUAGCCACUAACUGGUACUUACUGGCUAUGUUUUGUGAAACAAAAAUUACAGGAGGCCAUUGUUUUAGGAUGGAAUUCCUGCACUAGUCCCUAACAAAUUGGACCAAACCAAAACAGGGUCACUCAUGCUAAAUGGCACAUAAUCAAACUAAAGCUUUAAGAAAUCAAAUAGAUCCCAAAUGGACCAACUUUUCCUGAAAAUAGGAGACUCCAGUCUACCUGAGUCAGAGUAAUAAGGAAGUCCUCUCUCUUUGAACCUGCACAAAAAAGUAACCUGAUAUUAAAUAAUCAGUUAUUUUUAUUCUUUUUUUUAUGUGGGGUCUCACUCUGUCACCCAAGCUGGGGUGCAGAGGUGCAAUAAUGGGUCAUUGCAGCAUAGAAAUACUAGGUUCAAGAGAUCCUCUCCCCUCACCCUCCUGAGUAGCUGGGACUAACUACAGGCACACACUACCACGCCCAGCCAAUUUUUUAUUUUGUUUUUUGUAGAGAUGAGGUCUCACUUUGUUACCCAGGCUGCUCUCAAACUCUGGACAUCAAGCAAUUCUCUUGCCUCAUCCUCCCAAAGUGCUGAAAUUAUAGGCAUGAGCCACUGGGCCCAGCCCCACUCAGAUUUUUAUUUUAUUUAUUUUAUUUUAUUUUAUUUUAUUCUAAUUUUUUUUUAUUUUUCAGAUGGAGUCUUGCACUGUCACCCAGGCUGGAGUGCAGUGGUGUGAUCUUGGCUCACUGCAACCUCCGCCUCCCAGGUUCAAGCGAUUCUCUUGCCUCAGCCUCCUGAGUAGCUGGGACUAUACGCGCACACCACCACACCUGGCUAAUUUUUGUAUUAUUAGUAGAGAUGGGAUUUCACCAUGUUGGCCAGGCUGCUCUCGAACUCCUGGCCUCCUGAUCCGCCCACCUCAGCCUCCCAAAGUGUUAGGAUUACAGGUGUGAACCACCGUGCCCAGCCUCAGUUAUUUUUACAUUGCUCUUUUCCUUGUCCCCCCUUUACAAAACCCACUGUUCUGCCAUUGCCCAGUGGGAGCUUUACUCUAUCUUGAAGAAUAGAAGCUGCCCCAAUUCAUGAGCCACAGAUAAAAACCAAUUCUAUCUAUAACUAAAUUUGUUGUAAUUUUGUCUUUUGACAAUUUUAUAUGGCGAAAAUAGCCAUUGUGCUAAGUGAAUAACCAAAAUGUUCUUGUAAAUAACAUAAAUUUGUGGUUUCCUAGUAUACUCUGCAGAGCUCUGGGAUUCUCUAGAUGUACUUCACUGACCACUGUGAUAUGAGGAGGCAGCUAAACUCAUGUCAGUCUGCGCAUCCCAUAUCCUUCAAGCUGAGCAACUCUGUCCUAAUCCUUUUUCUUUUUAUUUAUUUAUUGAGACAGGGUCUCACUCUGUCAUCUAGACUGGAGUGCAGUGGCUCCAUCACAGCUCACUGCAGCCUCGACCUCCUGGGAUCAAGUAAUCGUCCUGCCUCAGCCUCCUGAGUAGCUGGGACUACAGGCAUGUGCCACCACACUCAGCUAAUUUUUGUAUGAUUUUAGACGUGGGGUCUCCCUAUGUUGCCCAGGCUAGUCUCAAACAUCUAGUUUCAAGCAAUCCUCCUGCCUCAGCCUCCCAAAGUGCUGGGAUUAUGGGCAAGAGACACUGCACCUGGCCCUUGUCUGUUUUAUAUAGUGGGUUUCUACACAAGAUUGUGUGUAAAUGUGUUUUAUAGCAAAAAAAAUAGUUUGACAAUUAGUAACAUUGACCCAGCUGCUAAUUGACAGUGAAUAUUUCACUUCAGUGACUCUACUUGUUUGUUGACAAAGCUACUACUGAGCAGGGGCAGUGAUAUUGUCAAGUCCUGUUUGUGUGUGUGUGUGUGUGUGUGUGUGUGUGUGUGUGUGUACAAAUAUUUUUAAAUGCUUACCAAUGGUUCAAUACUGAAUAAAGCCUAUGUACUCCCAAUGAUUACUGUCCAAAAUAGCAUUAUGCAAAGUACUUAACUGAGCUUCCACCUUAUGAUUCUAAAAGCUAAGCAAAAAUGCUUGUCACUCUUUUGAAGAUAUGGGUUAUAAUUAUUGGAGAAGCACGUUCACAUGCAGUUUGACUCUUCUCCACGUUGGAGUAAUUACCCUGCAUUGUAGCUGGACUCAGGGGAUUUUGAAUGUAGUAAUGAAUUGCUGCGAACCUUCCAAGAAAUACAGAACCAUAUGUCUCAGGAAAUGGGUUGGAGGCUGUAGCUAUAGAUAAGAACGUGGGAAGGGAAUGCUAGUACUUCUAAAGACAACUGUGUAAGGUUAUGAAUUGAAAUUCAUUGCUAAUGUGGAUGAAGCUGGAAUGUAUUUUUCCCAUGAUGUUUAGUGUGGAAUUUGUCAUAGUAGCAGGAAAUUGGAUGCUAAACUUUUAAGUUGCUUUCCAGUGAUUAAAGAACAGAAUGUCCAGAUUCUUAGAAUCUCCAUACUAGAAGUUCAAAUUUACAUGUAGCUUAUGUUAUCUGGAUGGCUACAAUUAUAAACUCUCAGAAGCUUAGGCCAGAUCAUAAAAAGGCCAAAAUAUGAGAAUGAAACCACUGAGAAUUAAAAUACAGAAGUUGAAAGUCACCAACUGUAGAAGUUUCAUAUUCAAGAGAUAUUUUCUUUUUCCUGAGGAGACAUUUUCUUUUUCCUGAGGAGAUCAAAAUCCAGUCAAAUAAUCAAAUGUAAAUAAAAAAUAUAACAAUCAAUCAAAUCCAUCUGUAGAAAGGAUGGGAUGUGUUUAUAGAAGCCCAGUAAUUCAAACCGAAGCUAGAAAAGGUGGUAUCAAAACUAAAGAUUUAUAAAAAUUUGUACUAUCCAAGAAGAAGAGAGACUAUAUCUAGGUCACCUGAGGUAAAUUCUAUCAAUAAAUAAGGGUGGUUCACCAAGCUUACAGCCUGCUAAGACAAUAUUCCAGAUCUCAAGCUUUCUUACAGACAGGAGACAAUCUUUCAGAUUUCAAGAAAGAAAGAAUAGAUAAAAUAGACAUCUACAGUCAGUUGACUUUAAGUAAAAGAGAUAAUCCUAUAUCAUCUGAGUGGCCCUAAUUCAAUCAGUUGAAAAGCUUUACAGCAGAAUGGUUUCCUGGAAGAAGAAAUUCUACCUAUCAGCUUCAGCUUGAUACAUUUUGGACUUGUCUA
rnacentral:lncRNA from 1 species